CCUACGGGGCGCAGCAGUGAGGAAUAUUGGUCAAUGGGCGAGAGUCUGAACCAGCCAAGUCGCGUGAAGGAUGACUGCCCUAUGGGUUGUAAACUUCUUUUAUAUGGGAAUAAACUGUUCCACGUGUGGGCUUUUGUAUGUACCAUAUGAAUAAGGCUCGGCUAACUCCGUGCCAGCAGCCGCGGUAAUACGGAGGAUCCGAGCGUUUUCCGGAUUUAUUGGGUUUAAAGGGCGCGUUGGUUGAUUGUUAAGUCAGUUGUGAAAGUUUGCGGCUCAACCGUAAAAUUGCAGUUGAAACUGGCAGUCUUGAGUACAGUAGAGGUGGGCGGAAUUCGUGGUGUAGCGGUGAAAUGCUUAGAUAUCACGAAGAACUCCGAUUGCGAAGGCAGUUCACUGGACUGCAACUGACACUGAGGCUCGAAAGUGUGGGUAUCAAACAGGAUUAGAUACCCUGGUAAUC
rnacentral:rRNA from 1 species